CCUACGGGAGGCAGCAGUGAGGAAUAUUGGUCAAUGGCCGAGAGGCUGAACCAGCCAAGUCGCGUGAGGGAAGACGGCCCUACGGGUUGUAAACCUCUUUUGUCGGGGAGCAAAUCGAGUCACGUGUGACUCAUUGAGAGUACCCGAAGAAAAAGCAUGGGCUAACUACGUGCCAGCAGCCGCGGUAAUACGGAGGAUGCGAGCGUUAUCCGGAUUUAGUGGGUUAAGGGGGUGCGCAGGCGGAGGGGCAAGUCAGAGGGCAAAUUGCGGGGCUCAACCCCGUACUGCCGUUGAAACUGCAUCCCUGGAGUGCACGAGAAGUAUGCGGAAUGCGUGGUGUAGCGGUGAAAUGCAUAGAUAUCACGCAGAACUCCGAUUGCGAAGGCAGCAUACCGGCGCGCAACUGACGCUCAUGCACGAAAGCGUGGGUAUCGAACAGGAUUAGAUACCCCAGUAGUC
rnacentral:rRNA from 1 species